rnacentral:rRNA from 1 species
GGGUGCGAUCAUACCAGCACUAAUGCACCGGAUCCCAUCAGAACUCCGAAGUUAAACGUGCUUGGGCGAGAGUAGUACUAAGAUGGUGACCUCUUGGGAAGUCCUCGUGUUGCACCCC